UGAGGACAAAGUUUCCGACUUGAACGACGGUGGAGGAGUUUGCGACGAAGAAACUGCUAAGGGUGAUGGAGAUAGUAGGGGUUCGGAGACAAAUAGUUGGAAUGAGGAAGUGGGUGUUGAUGUUGAUGUUGAUGCUGAUGAAGAUGAAGAUGAAGAUGAUGUUGGUGUUGGUGAUGAUGGAGUGGAGACGAAGGAAGAGAGAAACAGUGAUAUGACUCACCACUAUCCUUUGAGGCCUGAAGCUGAGGAUUGUGCAUUUUAUAUGAAAACUGGGAAUUGCAAGUUUGGGUUUAACUGCAAGUUUAAUCACCCUAUUAGGAGGAAAACCCAGGUACUUCUUGUGUCUUUCUUCUCCUUUGUAUUCCUCUUUUAGAUGCUAUGCUUGUUAGUGAUGCUAUUGUUUUUGUAUGGUAUGUUUGUUUGCAUUGAUAUCUGUUAGUGAUCAAUAUUGCAUUGUUGGAGGUUAAGCUUUAGAACAAUUCACUUGUGUAAAGGUUAUCUUUUCUCCGAGGUUUCCUUUACGGUGACAUUGUGUUAUUUGUGGUGCUGGAUUGAGAACAAGAGUAGUUUGCCUUUGCUGAAGGUAUACUUUUGAUUGGAGGGACUAGUAAAUGGUCAGAACUGUUACAUCAUGGCUAGUAGGUACUUGAUAUUGAACUGUCAUUUUUGGAGGAAGUGCUAUUUUUGGUAAUUUGCUUUUAUGAUUUUAUAAUGUGUCUGUUUUGGUCGGCCUUUUUACUCUAUAGCAUUGCUAAAAGGACUUAUUAAGGCUUCAAAAUUUUCCUAUUUUUGUGAGGUCUCCUUUAUUACCUCUUCAGACUUAGUAAGGUGUUGGUGAUUGAGUAUAUCAAUAUAUCAAUGAGGUUCUCUUCACCAUUUU
rnacentral:lncRNA from 1 species